GUUCUCAGUUCGGACUGUAGGCUGCAACUCGCCUACACGGAGUCGGAAUCGCUAGUAAUCGCGGAUCAGCAUGCCGCGGUGAAUACGUUCCCGGGCCUUGUACACACCGCCCGUCACACCAUGAGAGUUGGGAAUACCCGAAGCCUGUGAGCUAACUAUACGAGGCAGCAGUCGAAGGUAGAAUCAAUGAUUGGGGUGAAGUCGUAACAAGGUAAC
rnacentral:rRNA from 1 species